UGGGGAAUUUUGGACAAUGGGCGCAAGCCUGAUCCAGCCAUGCCGCGUGUCUGAAGAAGGCCUUCGGGUUGUAAAGGACUUUUGUCAGGGAAGAAAAGGCUGUUGCUAAUAUCGACAGCUGAUGACGGUACCUGAAGAAUAAGCACCGGCUAACUACGUGCCAGCAGCCGCGGUAAUACGUAGGGUGCGAGCGUUAAUCGGAAUUACUGGGCGUAAAGCGAGCGCAGACGGUUACUUAAGCAGGAUGUGAAAUCCCCGGGCUCAACCUGGGAACUGCGUUCUGAACUGGGUGACUAGAGUGUGUCAGAGGGAGGUAGAAUUCCACGUGUAGCAGUGAAAUGCGUAGAGAUGUGGAGGAAUACCGAUGGCGAAGGCAGCCUCCUGGGAUAACACUGACGUUCAUGCUCGAAAGCGUGGGUAGCAAACAGGAUUAGAUACCCUGGUAGUCCACGCCCUAAACGAUGUCAAUUAGCUGUUGGGCAACUUGAUUGCUUAGUAGCGUAGCUAACGCGUGNNUUGACCGCCUGGGGAGUACGGUCGCAAGAUU
rnacentral:rRNA from 1 species